CGUGUAGGCGGCUAGACAAGUCAGAUGUGAAAUCCCUGGGCUUAACCCAGGAAGUGCAUUUGAAACUGUCCUGCUAGAGUAAGGGAGAGGAAAGUGGAAUUCCUGGUGUAGAGGUGAAAUUCGUAGAUAUCAGGUGGAACACCGGUGGCGAAGGCGACUUUCUGGCCCUAUACUGACGCUGAGACGCGAAAGCGUGGGUAGCAAACA
rnacentral:rRNA from 1 species